rnacentral:rRNA from 1 species
AACGAACGCUGGCGGCGUGCCUAACACAUGCAAGUCGAACGGGAAAACCCGCAAGGGUGAGUACAGUGGCGCACGGGUGCGUAACACGUGGGUAAUCUGCCCAGAAGCCCGGAAUAACUCCCCGAAAGGGGUGCUAAUGCCGGAUGAGACCACGGGGACUUCGGUUCCUGGGGGAAAAGGUGGCCUCGGUAUACAAGCUAUCACUUCUGGAUGAGCCGGCGGCCCAUCAGCUAGUUGGCGGGGUAAUGGCCCACCAAGGCUACGACGGGUAGCUGGUCUGAGAGGACGAUCAGCCACACUGGAACUGAGACACGGUCCAGACUCCUACGGGAGGCAGCAGUGGGGAAUCUUGCGCAAUGGGCGAAAGCCUGACGCAGCAACGCCGCGUGUGUGAUGAAGGUCUUCGGAUCGUAAAGCACUGUCGGGAGGGACGAAUAAGGGCCGGGUGAACAAUCCGGUUCGACGACGGUACCUCCAGAGGAAGCACCGGCUAACUCUGUGCCAGCCGCCGCGGUAAGAC